rnacentral:rRNA from 1 species
UGGGGAAUAUUGCGCAAUGGGGGAAACCCUGACGCAGCAACGCCGCGUGAAUGAGGAAGGCCUUAGGGUUGUAAAGUUCUGUCGGGUGGGAAGAACGGUAUAGGGUCCAAUAGGCCCUGUAUUUGACAUUACCACCAAAGGAAGCACCGGCCAACUUCGUGCCAGCAGCCGCGGUAAUACGAAGGGUGCAAGCGUUGUUCGGAUUUACUGGGCGUAAAGUGCACGCAGGCGGAUUAAUAAGUCAGAUGUGAAAUCUCGGGGCACAACCCCGAAACUGCGUCUGAAACUAUUGAUCUAGAAUCUCGAAGAGGGAAGUGGAAUUUCGUAUGUAGGGGUAAAAUCCGUAGAGAUGCGAAGGAACAUCAGAGGCGAAGGCGACUUCCUGGAAGAGUAUUGACGCUGAGGUGCAAAAGCGUGGGGAGCAAACAGG